UCUUUUAUUUACCAAAAUUAUUUUGAAUUCAUAACUAACUUGAUCGUCGGAGUUUUUGCAGGUACCACACCUUUGGUGUGUCAUGCUAUGCUUAUGAGUAUGAUGAAACCGAAAGGAAAUGCAACAUCUUAAAAGCAUGGUAGGAAGUUUACCUUUGAUUUGAGCUGCUGGCCAUGCUUAACAGUUCGGUCUUCAACCGAGCUGAGUGAAUGAGAUUCAUUGACAUGGGGGGCCUUCUGAAACAUUGGAAAUGGGCAGAGGCUGAAAACUUUGGGUGCCAGGCUGUGUUUGAAGUGGGGAGUCAUGCCUCAAAUAUAAAUUCUGGUGUCCCUAGUGAAAGUUGAAGCAAAACAUUGGAAAUUUGAGUUGUUCUUCAUAAUGCCUAUUAAGCUCACGAGAUCUUGCGAAAGAAAUGGGAUAAGGAAGGUAUGUACGCUCUUGUCAUGAAUAGAU